rnacentral:lncRNA from 1 species
CUUAAGCAAGUCAGCACAUACAAAGUUGAAAGACACAUCAGAACAGAGGAACCCAGCUAUUCAUUUGGCAAAUGAAAAUUUAGAGGACAUGAGGAUUCAGUCAUCAAGUAAGUCAGCAAACAUAGAGAUGAAAGACACAUCAGAGCAGAGGGACCCAGCUAUAAACCAGACAAAAAUAAAUUUCGAGGACACAAAGAAUCAGUCAAUAAACAAGUCAGCAAAUAGAGAGAUGAAAGACACAUCAGAGCCAGCCAAGGACCUUCCUUAUACACCAGGCAAGCAAAAAUCUUGAGAGGAUACAAA